rnacentral:lncRNA from 1 species
GUUUAGAAGUGAGAGGCUCAGAAAACCAUAGACAAAAGAGAAAAAAUAGUUGAGAUUAUCUCUACCUAAUUCUUGCUACUCAUAAAAAAAUCAGCCUGGGAACUUUUGAAAACAACUUUUGCAUUUGCACAACUCCAACUCAGCCUUCCCUACCCCCACCCCCAGCCCAUUGGUCUCUACCAAUAAGGAUUCGCUAUAUUUCUUUUGAAUAGCUCAUAUUUGCAAAUGAAACGAGCAUUGAGCACCACUGACCGAAUCUCAUUUAGGUGAUCUUUUCUCCCCAGAAUUUCCAACAGAUGGAAAAUAGACGAUAAUCUGGUGAAAAUGCCAGUGGGAAGGCUGUCAGGGAACUAGGUCCCUUCUACAUCACUAUUAUCCUACCAAAAUUAUGACGUCCCCAUCUCUCAAGAUGAAAGGAUGUACAAUGUUACUUGAAAGGUGAUAAGCCCAAGAAAAAGGCAUUACAAUGCCUGGAAGAUUUUUCAGAUCAGUACCUGCAUGGUUGUUGAAAAUAAAUGAGGAACCUCGACACAAAAACAAAAAGUGAGAAAUGUUGAAGCCUUGAUUGCAUAGAGACUUCAGUAGAUGAGGGACUUAGCCCUUAUUUACUUUAAAUUAUCUAAAUAUUUCCCUAUUCUUUUUGUCGUACUUAACACGUGAUGUUUAAGCCCGGUCUCUGUUACAGAAGUUUUGCUCUUGGAAGAGUUAAUUCACAACAACAACCUGAACUCGAUAUGCCGACACUGUAGUGCCUCAGUCUGACUUCGUAAAAUCACGCCAUCGAGCACCUGAUAAUGGUAUUUGCUUUUCAGUCUUGCUGGCUGAGAAAUACAGUGAUGGUUCCCCCUUAAAAUACAUGGUGACUUCCGGAAACCAAUGAAAGGAACUCAUCCUCGGGCUAUGUAACUUCUGAAAUCCUAAUACUUGGUCAGGGUCCUAUUACUAUAUCAUCAGUCCUUUUUCUUGUGGAUAAACUUUUCAUCAUUCGUAAAUUCAGCCUUUGGUUCUCACAUAAUUCUAUCAGCAUAAUUAGCCAGAAAUAAUGUUUCUCACGUUGUUUAAUAAUAAUAUUAUUAAAAAUAAUAUUUCUGGUCAAGAGUGUGUUACAAUACAUAAACUUCUAACAGGCAUCCUCAUCUCUUUUUCUUUAUUUCAGUCAGUUUUCCAGGCUCAAAGGUAAAUAAACACAGUGUAGAACAAUAUAAAUAAAAAUAGAAGGAGUUCUGUGGCACAGGGUGGGAGUGGGUGGGAGUGGGCUGGUGAGGAGGCUUGGGGAUCCAGCCUUGUUCCUGCGGUGGCUUGGGUUUGAUCCCUGGUGCAGGAACUUCCACAUG